rnacentral:misc_RNA from 1 species
UACGAGGUGAAUUUUUCAUAUGUUGAAGCAGAAGAAAACAAACAAGCCCUGGUGAAAUUGGUAGCCUGUGAGAGAUGUGCAGAAAAGCUUCUUUACAAAAAGAGGAAAGAGAAGGAUCAAUCUAGAGAGGACCUGAAAGAUAAGCAUCGAAGGAGAAGGGGAAGAUCUGCGAGUGAUGAUGAACAUAAGGAUGAUUAUUACGAACGAAGGAGAAGGGGAAGAUCUGUGAGUGAUGAUGAAAAUAAGGAUGAUAAUUACAAACGAAGGAAGAGGGAAAGAUCUGUAAGUGAUGAUGAUACUAAAGGUGAUAAUUACAAACGAAGAAAAGGAAGGAGUAGAGGGUCAAAGGCUCCAACUUCAUCUGAUAAUCAAGAUAAUGAGAAUAUGGAUGAGUAUCUGGAGGGAAUGUUUCCUUGAGACAGGAGGCUACUGAUGUUUUUGUAGAGAUUUUGAAGUCUUCAUUAAAUUUGUUUAGAUUGCAACUAGGUAUUUUUGUCUGGACAACGGAGAGGAAAAUUGGUAGGAAAAGCACAAGUAAUUUCGUAUUUUUGAAAGGCUAGACUGGUUAAGAAAUACACGAAGGAACCUGGAAACGCUGGAAGUGGGGAGCUCAAGUAUUCUAUUGAGUCGUCUCUUCCAUGUAAAAGCAAGAAUUGUAGCAAGUGAUCUUUCUACUUAGUUUUCAACAGUUUUUGUUAAUGAGUAGCUCCUCGGAAUGUAAAUAUAUG